GGGCGCAAGCGUUAUCCGGAAUUAUUGGGCGUAAAGAGCUCGUAGGCGGUUUGUCGCGUCUGCCGUGAAAGUCCGGGGCUCAACUCCGGAUCUGCGGUGGGUACGGGCAGACUAGAGUGAUGUAGGGGAGACUGGAAUUCCUGGUGUAGCGGUGAAAUGCGCAGAUAUCACGAGGAACACCGAUGGCGAAGGCAGGUCUCUGGGCAUUAACUGACGCUGAGGAGCGAAAGCAUGGGGAGCGAACAGGAUUAGAUACCCUGGUAGUCCAUGCCGUAAACGUUGGGCACUAGGUGUGGGGGACAUUCCACGUUUUCCGCGCCGUAGCUAACGCAUUAAGUGCCCCGCCUGGGGAGUACGGCCGCAAGGCUAAAACUCAAAGGAAUUGACGGGGGCCCGCACAAGCGGCGGAGCAUGCGGAUUAAUUCGAUGCAACGCGAAGAACCUUAACAAGGCUUGACAUGGACUGGACGUACCUGGAAACAGGUGCCCCGCUUGCGGUCGGUUCACAGGUGGUGCAUGGUUGUCGU
rnacentral:rRNA from 1 species